UUUUUCUUGGGUGGUAAAAAGAAAGCUUUUAAUCAACUUUACAAAUACCACCGACUUAAUCACUUAAUUAGUCUUUGAUGAGAUGGAGAAAAGCAUAUUUUUUUUAGGCAUACUUAAAAUGAAUUAAAGGACUAUAUUAUUUUUAAUUUUGGAUUGAAAAUUAGUUAGAAAGUAAAUAAUUGGUUCCUGCGUGUUGUCCGUGUUGGAUAUGACAAGUAUUGUAGUCCACAAAC
rnacentral:lncRNA from 1 species